rnacentral:lncRNA from 1 species
UUAGUGCUACUCCAACAGCAGCAACUAAUUUAACUGCUGUACUGCUCGAUAAUGGUAAUUUUGUGCUGAGGGAACUGAAUCCCAACGGCUCUGUUAAGCAAACGGUAUGGCAAAGCUUUGAUUAUCCAACCGAUACACUUCUGCCUGGAAUGAAGCUUGGGAUCAACUUGCGAACUGGGCAUGAAUGGUCAUUGACUUCAUGGGUAAAUGAUCAGUUACCUGCUUCAGGGUCUUUUACCUUUGGUCUUGACUCUAAUGGUACGAAUCAGCUGAUAAUCUUGUGGAUGGACAAGGUCUAUUGGAAGAGUGGCCCUUGGCCUUCCGGACAUCUUGCUUUUAAAUAUGUGUCAAAUGAGGAUGAGAAGUACUUUAAUUUUACUGCUGAUUCUUUCGAUGGAAGGUACAGUAUGAGUCCAUCUGGAUUAAUUGAGGAUGGUUUUGGUGGAAAUGCAGAGUUUGGUGAUUGCAGCAAUGAGGAUCCAAAUGCUGGCUGCGUGAAACAGAUAUUGCCCCAGUGCAGGGCAGCUAAAAAAUAUUGGUUUGAGCUUAGACAAGUUUUCAUCUUUGGAGACAGCUUUAAAUUCGAUGAGAACUAUACCUUGAGUCUCUCAGAUUGCAAGGCCAAAUGUGAGAAUGAUUGCUCAUGUGUUGCCUAUGCCUCAGUCGAUAGUGACUACGGAGUUGGCUGUCAAAUUUGGGGAAACAACACGAGUUUUAUGACAGCAACAAACAGUCUAGCCAGAGGUGUUUUCUUUCUUACAAGAAAAGGUAAUGCUUGAGCCCUAAAUUAUUCAAUAGAGUUACAGACUUGAAAAAACUUGUGUUUUCUUUUCCUUGCAUCAAAAGACACGUUCUAACAGCGUUUCAACACAUAUUAGGAUUAAUUUAUCCAGUCGAGAUAAAUUGAUUUGGGGGGGUACCGCACUAAUAUCACCGAUCUGCAUUACUUUCAUUUGAUGGAGUGUCAUCUUCAAUCUUCAUUUAAAAAUGCGCUCGUUCAAAUGCUUAACCACACCACAUAAUAUCUUUGAUUUAGAGGGUACUAUGAUUUUGGAUUUCUAGAGUACCAAUUAUCAUAGUGUAUUCCAAGGAAAUUCUGUUGAAUGUUAUCAAAAGCAUCUAUUUACAAUCUGUUUGACAGAUGGGAAGCGAAAAUGGUGGAUAUGGCUGACGGUAGCGGUGUCCCUAAUGGUAUUUGCUUUCAUUUGCUCCUUAUUAUGUCUGAUACAAAGAAAACUCAGAGCAAGAGGUGAGCAAUACAUUCACUCUAUCGCUAGUCCAAUGUGACACUACCUUGUCUCUGAAAUCUUCAACUUUGCAUUUGUCACCCAGGCAAAGUCAGAGAAGAAAUGGAGAAAGUGUUAUAUGGAGGUCCUCAGGCCAAUUCUGGCCAGUAUAAUAACAAGAAGACUUCUAGACUCAGCAAGAAGUUCAGGCAUGAUAUACAAAUUUUCAGCCUUGAAACUAUAAACACGACCACAAACAAUUUUUCGUCUGCCAAUAAGUUGGGAGAGGGUGGCUAUGGACCCGUUUAUAAGGUAAAAGUUAAAAAGCUUUUGGCUAUAGCUGAUUCUUAGAUUUGCUAAGUAACCAAUAUUUCAGGGGAUGUUUCUCGACGGGCAAGAGAUAGCCAUAAAGAGACUUUCAAGAAGUUCAGGGCAAGGAUUGGUAGAGUUCCAAAAUGAAAUUAUGCUGAUUGCUAAACUCCAGCACACAAAUCUUGUUAGGCUUUUAGGGUGUUGCAUUGAAGGGGAAGAGAAGAUAUUAGUUUAUGAAUACAUGAUGAACAAAAGCUUAGAUUUCUUCUUAUUUGGUAUGGAUUUCCAGUUUCAUGCCUAAAUUGCUGAAUUAAUCUUAUUUGAUAACUAGCACCCUUCCCAUUUUCAUUGGACAGAUCCUAGCAGAAAAGAUUCACUAAAAUGGAAUAUCCGUUUGAAUAUUAUCGAAGGAGUUGCUCAAGGACUACUUUAUCUCCACAAGUAUUCAAGGCUGAGGGUGGUUCACAGAGAUCUAAAAGCCAGCAAUAUCUUGCUUGAUGACAAAAUGAACCCCAAAAUCUCAGACUUUGGUUUGGCCAGGAUAUUUGGGAGGCAAGAAUUUGAAGCUAACACGGAGCGAAUUGUUGGUACAUAGUAAGUCCUAACAGAUAUAAUUAGCUAAUGAUAGUGAUCCAUUGAGUCGUGUUCUCAUAUCCUAGUUUCUUCCUUUUCAGUGGCUAUAUGUCUCCAGAAUAUGCCAUGAAUGGCAUUGUGUCAACGAAGACAGACAUAUUCAGUUUUGGAGUUCUAGUACUCGAGAUUUUGAGUGGUAAAAGAAACAACAGCUGCUAUCAUUUAGAACGCCCACUAAACCUCAUUGGAUAUGUAAGUUUCUCUCAUUAAAAAUCAUAUAGCAUGAUCCGUAGGUGGAUGGAGUAUUUGUUUAAUUUGUUCAACUGAAACUAAUACUUUCGAUAAUAAACAUAGCUAUAUAUAUGUGAAAAUUACUAAAAUCUCAACAAAUUUCAAAAAUCUGAAACCAUAAUUCUAAUGUACAAUGAGUUUUGUGCUGAAAAAACUUUAGAUGUUCAAGCUGUCAAGUUUACAUUCUUCUGGAUCCGCCCUGGUAUUAUCCCUGAGUUGAACAAGGUUAUUUUGUACUUGCUAUGCUCAAAUUUGUCUCAGGCAUGGGAAUUGUGGAAAGCAGGCAGAGUCCUUGAAGAACUAACAGAACCUGUAUUGUUAAAUGAAUCGACGCCAAUGAACGAGGUAAUGAGAUGCAUUCAUGUAGGAUUGCUCUGUGUUCAAGCCAAUCCAAUGGACAGGCCAUCCAUGUCAAGUGUGGUUAUGAUGCUCACAAAUGAUAGCCUGCAACUACCCGUCCCCAAGCAACCAGCAUUCUUCAUUGAAACAGCUUUGGCAGAGACCGAAACUCACGAAAAAGUUGGACAUAGUUCCCCAAAUGGACUAUCAAUAUCAGAUAUGGUAGCGAGAUGACUUUCGUCGUUGUACUCCUCAAAAUUGUCAAAAGGGAAUAUGUAAUCUCCCUUAUGAAACAAAAUAAAGACUACUGUUUGUAUCCUUCAUCUGGAAUUUAUUAAGUGUGAGUUGUUAGCAAGAGAAAGUAAGCUUGUUAAAGCCUUUUCAGAUUAUACUGUCUGCACAAUUUUUAGAGGUCGCCAGCAACAUAUUGUAUAACACUUAGUGUGAAUGCAAAUGAAGAUUCAGAGUAUCAAAUGUAACUGAAUUCAGAACUCAUAUAUGUAAGUAAUUGUAACUAGUCUUUCAAAGAUGGAGUGAUUAAUAAGAUCAGAAGAUUCAACCAAAGAAGAGGUUAACUAAGAUCAGAUGAUUCAACUAAAGAAGAGGAAGUUACGAAAGAGAAGCUUAGUUAAGAAAGAAGACUUCUUUAAUUGGAUUGUUUUUGGGUUGAUUACAAAUGCCGAAUGUCAUUCCCCAUUUAUACUUGUGUUGGUUGAGAGAUUCUAGAUACUACAAAUCUAGAGUGUUUUAUGCUCUUCCACAAAUAUCUCCCUCAAAUAUCAGCACACUUAUGCUCUUCCACAAAUAUCUCCAUCAAAUAUGUAGCACCCUCUAAUAUCUAGAUUUUUCCUAAAUACAAAUAUCAAAUAGACUACACUAUCCUUUUCUAGAUUCUUCUACCUUAAAUUACCUAAAAUAUCUAGAUAUUUCUUCAAGUUGAUUAUCCUAAAUACUAAACUAGAAUAUUCUAGAAACUUAACUAGUUAUCUAUGAUUCCAAAAAAUCUACUUUAAUAUUUUCACAAAUGUUUCUGGUAUGACUUGAUUUCAAGAUUUUGAUUAUGAGAUUUCUUGAACUUCAUUAUAUCUUCCGCAUUACAUGUGUUGAAGACAUUGAAGAAGUAGUGAACUCAAACAAAAAACAAAGUAGACUUGGUUCCAGCUUUCAGUUAUUACUGUUCUAAUAGUUAGUUACAAAGUAGUUAACGGCUAGUUGAGUUAGUUAGGCAUAUCACAAGCUAGUAUAUAUACAUAACAAUGUACAUUGUUCUAUUCAUUCAAUACAAACAGUUACUCUUCUCUCUCAUCUUCUUCUUCUCUCAGUUCUCUUCCUUCCCUUCUUCUACAAACACUAUCAAACUCUGUACUUCCUCCAUUAUUGAAUAAACAAGAAGCUUACUGCUAUCUUGUAUAAUUACAUGGUAUCAAAGCCAUUACUCACUAGAANNNNNNNNNNNNNNNNNNNNNNNNNNNNNNNNNNNNNNNNNNNNNNNNNNNNNNNNNNNNNNNNNNNNNNNNNNUGAUGUAAGUGACAUACAAAUCAUCUCUUUUCAAGUGAUAGGAAUUGAGAACUUUUCAGCCUGGUUUAGAUCCAUGCGUAUAGCCUUAUUAGGGAGAAAUAAAUUGGGCAUGGUAGAUGGAACAUGCUCUAAAGAUAAGUUCUCAAAUGAGUUGAGUAGUCAUUGGGAAAAAGUCAAUGCAAUUGUACUUUCUUGGAUCAUGAAUUCAGUUUCUAAAGAGUUACUUGGUGGAAUCAUGUAUGCAUCUGUAGCUAGUGUAGUUUGGAAUGAGCUAUCUGAACGGUUUAACAAAGUUGAUGGGGCAAGAACCUUUAAUCUGCACAAAGAUAUAGCCACAUUAUCUCAAGGAACUGCCUCAGUGUCUAUGUAUUUCUCAAAACUAAAGGAUUUGUGGGAAGAAUUUGAGGCUCUUGUGCCUGCACCUAGGUGUGAAUGUGAGAAAUCAAAACUGUUUCAGUUUCUUAUGGGCCUGAAUGAGACUUAUACACAAGCAAGAAGUCAAAUCUUGCUUAUGACCCCUCUCCCAAAUGUAAACCAAGCUUAUACAAUGAUCAUAAGUGAUGAAAGUCAAAAAUCUAUUACAAGUCAGGCUGGAAUCUUGGGAAUAAAUCCUACAGUUAAUGCCAAAAACCUUGAGAUAGCCAUGUAUGCAAGAAAUGGUCUAUUUGGAAACAACAAUCAGAAGUUCAAGAAAAAUUUCAAUCUGCAAUGUGAUUUCUGUAAACUGAAGGGGCACUCUAAGGAAAACUGCUGGAAGAUAGUAGGCUAUCCUCAAGAUUACAAAGCCAAGAAGAAGUUCAAACAUAAAGGGAACAACAUAGCUUACAAUGUGUCUUCAAUGGAUCAGGGUGGCUAUGAUCAGUAUGCAAGUCAAUUGGAAACAACAAUCAGAAGUUCAAGAAAAAUUUCAAUCUGCAAUGUGAUUUCUGUAAACUGAAGGGGCACUCUAAGGAAAACUGCUGGAAGAUAGUAGGCUAUCCUCAAGAUUACAAAGCCAAGAAGAAGUUCAAACAUAAAGGGAACAACAUAGCUUACAAUGUGUCUUCAAUGGAUCAGGGUGGCUAUGAUCAGUGUGCAAGUCAAUACUCUCAUUCUAUGCAGAAGUGGUCUACUAAGGAUGCAAGACAGUCUCUAGUGUCUGAUAGUCAACUAGAGCAGUUGAUUCAGAUGGUAAAUGUUGCAUUCAUAAGGAAUAAUAUGGUCAAAUCUUACAAAUGAUCAACAAAAAAAACUCCGUCAACACACCUUGUGAGUCUGCAAAUAUAACAAGUGUAGGUAUUUCUGCUUGUCUAGCCUCCUUUGAUUCUCAGAUAUCGAUUAUAGAUACUGGUGCUACUAACCAUAUGGCUGGAAACUCAGACCUGUUACUUAACAAGAGUGUUACAGAGUUAGAAAAAAUAAAGAAGGUAUAUCUACCAAAUGGUGACACUACAAUGGUCACUCAUGUGGGAACUAGUUGCUUGUCAGAAGGAAAUAACAUCACAGAUGUCUAUCACAUUCCACAGUUUACAUAUAGCCUUCUAUCAGUGUCAUAAGUAAUUAAGGAGUGAAAUUGCUCAGUGAAUUUCUUUCCUGAUUUCUGUGUUUUCCAGGAUCUUUGUACUGGAAAGGUGAGGGGGAUUGGUAAGCUUGAUGGAGGACUAUAUGUGCUUAGAGAUCAGUGAAGAAAAGAGGUUGCAAUAGCAACUAAAACAUCUAGUAAACCAGCUAUAGAAAGAACUCAAACUGAAGUAGAUUUGUGGCAUCAAAGGUUGGGACAUGCAUCAACCAGUGUGUUGAAAAGAGUUAUAUCUCAAGAAGUUCAAGUAAUAGAAGAUAGAAUAAAGUAAUGUAGUAUCUGUCCUAGUGCUAAACAAACUAGGUUACCUUUUCUGUCUACUAACAGUCAAAGUACAUGUUGUUUUGAUCUUGUACACAUGGGUGUUUGGGGACCUUACAAAGUGCCAACUAUGAAUGGAAAUAGAUAUUUUCUAACAGUGGUUGAUGAUUUUUCAAGGUAUACUUGGAUAUUUCUGAUAAAACUUAAGUAUGAUGUGUGUUCAGAUUCAACACUUUCUUGUAUAUUUCAAAACUCAGUUUGACAAGGCUAUCAAAGUAGUGAGGACUGAUAAUGGUACUGAGUUUGUUAACUCAAUAUGUAAAGAGUUGUUCCUGGAACAUGGCAUAGUUCAUCAAACUAGAUGUCCAUAUUCUCCUCAGUAAAAUGGUGUUGCUGAGAGAAAACACAAACACAUCCUAGAAGUGAUAAGAGCUAUCAGAUUUCAGGCUGAAAUUCCAAUAAGGUUCUGGGGUUUUUGUGUUCUAACUGUAGUAUAUAUCAUCAAUAGGUUGCCUAGUCCAGUCAUUCAGCUUGUGAGUCCUUAUGAAAAAUUGUAUGGUAAGCAACCAAAUUAUGAUUAUCUCAGAGUAAUGGGAUACAUGUGCUAUGCCAAAGUACUGAAUGAACAUGAUAAGCUCAUGUCUAAAACAAAGACAUGCAUCAUGAUGGGGUACUCUAGCACUCAGAAGGGAUAUGUUCUAUAUGAUUUAUCUACUAACAUUUUUUCUAUACAAUGGAAAUAGAUAUUUUCUAACAGUGGUUGAUGAUUUUUCAAGGUAUACUUGGAUAUUUCUGAUAAAACUUAAGUAUGAUGUGUGUUCAGAUUCAACACUUUCUUGUAUAUUUCAAAACUCAGUUUGACAAGGCUAUCAAAGUAGUGAGGACUGAUAACGGUACUGAGUUUGUCAACUCAAUAUGUAAAGAGUUGUUCCUGGAACAUGGCAUAGUUCAUCAAACUAGAUGUCCAUAUUCUCCUCAGUAAAAUGGUGUUGCUGAGAGAAAACACAAACACAUCCUAGAAGUGAUAAGAGCUAUCAGAUUUCAGGCUGAAAUUCCAAUAAGGUUCUGGGGUUUUUGUGUUCUAACUGUAGUAUAUAUCAUCAAUAGGUUGCCUAGUCCAGUUAUUCAGCUUGUGAGUCCUUAUGAAAAAUUGUAUGGUAAGCAACCAAAUUAUGAUUAUCUCAGAGUAAUGGGAUACAUGUGCUAUGCCAAAGUACUGAAUGAACAUGAUAAGCUCAUGUCUAGAAGAAAGACAUGCAUCAUGAUGGGGUACUCUAGCACUCAGAAGGGAUAUGUUCUAUAUGAUUUAUCUACUAACAUUUUUUCUAUACAUAGAGAUGUGUCAUUCAGGGAAGAUAUAUUUCCUUUUAAGGAACUCAAGAAGCAGCCUCAGGCACCUCAACAUGUGUUCCCUUUAGAAGAUCAGUAUCCAAUAACUACUGGAGUCAUGCAGAUUCCUAUACAGGUCUUAUCCCAAAGGACUACUGCCUCAGACAGUCAGCAAGAGCAGCUACCACCAAGGGAACCCACUCCCAGACAGUCCAUAACAAAGGUAUACCAAAGGAGGUCAAGUAGAAGUCAAGAGGCUACUCAGGUAUAUAUCAUCAAUAGGUUGCCUAGUCCAGUCAUUCAGCUUGUGAGUCCUUAUGAAAAAUUGUAUGGUAAGCAACCAAAUUAUGAUUAUCUCAGAGUAAUGGGAUACAUGUGCUAUGCCAAAGUACUGAAUGAACAUGAUAAGCUCAUGUCUAGAAGAAAGACAUGCAUCAUGAUGGGGUACUCUAGCACUCAGAAGGGAUAUGUUCUAUAUGAUUUAUCUACUAACAUUUUUUCUAUACAUAGAGAUGUGUCAUUCAGGGAAGAUAUAUUUCCUUUUAAGGAACUCAAGAAGCAGCCUUAGACACCUCAACAUGUGUUCCCUUUAGAAGAUCAGUAUCCAAUAACUACUGGAGUCAUGCAGAUUCCUAUACAGGUCUUAUCCCAAAGGACUACUGCCUCAGACAGUCAGCAAGAGCAACUACCACCAAGGGAACCCACUCCCAGACAGUCCAUAACAAAGGUAUACCAAAGGAGGUCAAGUAGAAGUCAAGAGGCUACUCAGCAAGAGCAACAACUCCAGAGCAUUCCUACCACUACACAAGCUGCAUCUCAACCAGUUGCAUCUCAAGAUCAAAGAAAGUCAACAAGAGAAAGAAAGUCACCUGCAUGGAUGAAUGACUUUGAUUCCAAAAACACAAGGAAGGUACCUCAUGCUAUUGCAAAUCAUGUGUCUUAUGAUAGACUUUCUCAGUCAUACAAGAGCUAUGUGAUGAACACUUCAUGUGUUGCUGAACCUACAAACUACUCUGAAGCCUGCAAAGACCCUAGAUGGGUGGAAGCAAUGAAGAAUGAAAUAGAAGCAUUGAAUUCUAACAACACCUGGAAGGUUGUUACCUUGCCUAAAGGAAAGAAGGCUAUUGGUUGCAGAUGGAUAUAUAAAGUGAAGUAUAAGGCCCAGGUGAAGUUGAGAGGUUUUAAGCAAAACUAGUAGCAAAGGGUUAUGGACAAAGAGAAGGCAUUGAUUACCAAGAAACAUUUUCUCCAGUAGUGAAGAUGAAGACAGUAAGAAUUGUACUUGCUGCAGCAGCUAGAAAUCACUGGUGUAUCCAACAAAUGGAUGUCUACAAUGCUUUCCUAAAUAGCGAUCUUUAUGAUGAAGUGUGCAUGGAUCUACCUUAAGGAUUUUCUAGUCAGGGGGAGAAUGCAGUAUGUAGACUACUCAAAUCCUUAUAUGGUUUUAAGCAAGCACCAAGGCAAUGGAACACCAAGCUAUCAGAGGUUUUGGUAAGAUCUCACUUCAUUCAGAGUUAGUAUGAUCCAUCCUUGUAUAUCAGAAAGACAACAGAAGACGUCAUUCUUGUACUAGUAUAUGUUGCUGACAUGUUGAUCACAAAAGAUGGUGUAAAGCUGAUAGAAGAGACCAAGAUAAUUCUACACCAAAACUUCAAGAUGAAGGAUCUAGGUGAGCUGAGAUACUUCUUAGGAAUAGAAUUUGCAAGGUAUGACAAAGAAAUAUUGAUGCAUCAGAGAAAAUAUGCUUUAGAAUUACUAUUUGAGCUAGACUUAACAGUAGUCAAGCCUGCAGCUACUCCUAUGGACUACAAUAUCAAGCUAACAUCUAGACAUUUUGAUAAGCAUGUUAAGCAAGGACAGACUACUGAUGAUCCACUAGUAAAUCAAGUUUCCUAUCAAAAAUUGAUUGGCAAGCUGUUGUAUCUAACUAUGACAAGGCCAGACACAGGCAUUUGUGUUCAAACACUCAGUCAGUUCCUUCAAGACCCUCAAAGAUCACACAAGGAGGCAACACUCAGAGUAGUAAAGUGUGUGAAAGGAUAACCAGGUCAAGGUAUGUUGUUGUCUAGUGGAUCAAAUAAUAAAGUGAGUGCCUACAGUGAUGAAAACUGGGCCUCCUGCCCUUAAACUAAAAGGUCUGUGACUGGUUAUUUUGUGAAGAUUGGAGAGUCAGUAGUAUCCUAAAAAUCAAAGAAACAAAGAAUUCAAAUACAAAUAGCUGCUAAUCCAAUAUAUCAUGAGAGGACAAAACAUAUUGAUAUUGAUUGUUUAUUUAUAAGGGAAAAAAUAGUCAAAGGAAUGAUCCAGACACACUGCAUUGCUACUCAAGAUCAACCUGCAGAUAUGCUGACUAAAAGACUGACAAGAGCACAACAAACUCAUCUCAAUACCAAGCUAGGAAUCUGUGACAUCUUCACACCUUUCUAGCUUGAGGGGGAGUGUUGAAGACAUUGAAGAAGUAGUGAACUCAAACAGAGACUUGGUUCCAACUUUUAGUUAUAACUGUUCUAAUAGUUAGUUACAAAGUAGUUAACGGCUAAUUGAGUUAGUUAGGCAUAUCACAAGCUAGUAUAUAUACAUAACAAUGUACAUUGUUCUAUUCAUUCAAUACAAGCAGUUACUCUUCUCUCUCAUCUUCUUCUUCUCUCAGUUCUCUUCCUCUCCUUCUUCUACAAACACUAUCAGACUCUAUACUUCCUCCAUUGUUGAAUAAACAAGAAGCUUACUGCUAUCUUGUAUAAUUACAACAUGUGAAAUUAUGCUUAUGAUAGUAUGCUAAGGGGUUUCUCAGACCUUCAUGGUUCGGGAUACCCAUCGCGGCCAGGACCUCGACUCGGUUCAAGAUCCUAAAAGAUCACACAUGGAGGCAACACUCAGAGUAGUAAAGUAUGUGAAAGGACAACCAGGUCAAGGUGUGUUGUUGUCUAGUGGUUCAAAUAAUAAAGUGAGUGCCUACUGUGAUGCAGACUGGGCAGCUUUCCCUCAAACUAGAAGGUCUGUAACUGGUUACUUUGUGAAGAUUGAAGAGUCAGUAGUAUCCUGGAAAUCAAAGAAACAAAACACUGUUACCUCGACUCGGGUCGUGACAAAUUACCUUCUAAAUGACAUGGUAGUGUAAGAUGAAAAUCUGUUCGAAAUGUUACACUAUCAUGGAGUAAAUAAAGGGUGGUGAUUUAGCGCCCUUGAUUUGAUGGAGUAUAUCAAGGGUGGUGAACAACACAACGACCCAGUCAGUUGGAAUUUGAAUAUUCUUGGUAAUUAAUCAGGUGGAUAUACAAGAAUUUUGUUUCCCAGACACUUCGAAAUGUUAAUGGGUGUGUGUUAGAUGCUUCAAAAUUGGUUUAUAUUGGAGAAUCCUGUUGUUUUCGGUACACAAAAAUCUGUAUUUUGGCAAAAUAACUUCAACACAAGUUCAAGAAUAAAUGAAGAACACUUAUGAAGUUUCCAACAUCUUCAACACAAGAUCAAAAACGAUCUUUCAAAGAAGUGUGUUUUCAGUAUUUUAAAGAAAAUUAGAUGAAGCAGAAAAAGUCAAGUCCUCCAAAUUCACGAAGUAUACUUAAGAAAAUAAUUUCCUCAAGUACCCGAGGUUGCGGAAUUUUCCUUCCAAGAUAAAAUGGCUUAACAAUUCGAUAGUAAUGGUACCUCAAACGAUCGAAUUCUCUUCGAAAUCACUCAGAGUAUUUUGGAAGAAAAGAAAUAUUUUCAAGUGCAGAAAAUUCGUACUAAACUUGUAGAAAAAUGCAGGUUUAUAUAGCCAUUAAAUGCUCCGUUUGAAAGGUGGCAAUAGUUCACCGGAAAGGUGUAUUCUUUCUGAACAGUCAUAUCUGUCUAUUCGAAAAAGUGUGUCCCUUCUAAGAAACAUUUUAUUUUUCAUUCACACCAAUUGAACCGAACACAUUCGAGACGAGUAUGAUAUCGAAAGUGAACAGUACGCGGCUGCGUGCAACUUAGGAAUUUUCCACUAAAAAGGGAGGUCUGUGUGGAAUUUUAAGCAUGCAUAGAAAAAAGCAGGUCAACAAAAGACUUCAAAGUCCACGCAUGCUGUCCCUGUUUUGAUAUUUCCAUUUUGACUUCUAUUAGUUCCUGUGUAGAUUAGAACUGUGCAUCUGUAAUCAUUCAAGUGUAGCUUAUAUUUUUUUCUUUGUUUUGCAUGGCUACCUACAAAAUUUGGAUCAUUUUCAUCCUUGUGGUAUUCGAUCACUUUUUACCCGCAGACCUUGUUGACAGAUCAAUCUCGAAGGGACAAAAUCUAACUGAUUAUCAACAGUUGGUCUCGGAAAAUACAUCCUUCAAAAUGCAAUUUUUCAGUCUCGGCAAGUCAAGAAACCGUUGGGAAUAUUUUACGUCUUGAUACGUACUCUGAUGUUAAUGGAGGACGAGAUGAAAUGGCUGUCUGGAUAGCUAACAGAGAUGAUCCUAUAACUGAUACAUGUGGAAUUCUUAUGGUAACUCCUGAUGGCAGCUUAAUGAUUUCUCAUAGUGAAGGAAACGUUAUUUUGUUUAGUGCUACUCCAACAACUAACUUAACUGCUGUACUGCUUGAUAAUGGUAACUUUGUGCUGGGGGAACUGGACACCUAUGGCUCUGUUAAUCGAGUACUAUGGCAAAGCUUUGAUUAUCCAACCGAUACACUUCUUCCUGGAAUGAAGCUUGGGAUUAACUUGAGAACUGCGCAUAAGUGGUCAUUGACUUCAUGGGUAAAUGAUCAAGUACCUGCUUCAGGGUCUUUUACCUUUGGUCUUGACCCUAAU